rnacentral:rRNA from 1 species
UACAGAGGGUGCAAGCGUUAAUCGGAAUUACUGGGCGUAAAGCGUGCGUAGACGGUUACAUAAGUCGGGUGUGAAAGCCCCGGGCUCAACCUGGGAAUUGCAUUCGAGACUGCGUAGCUAGGGUGCGGAAGAGGGAAGCGGAAUUUCCGGUGUAGCGGUGAAAUGCGGUAGAUAUCGGAAGGAACACCAGUGGCGAAAGCGGCUUCCUGGUCCAGCACCGACGUUCAGGCACGAAAGCGUGGGGAGCAAACAGGAU